rnacentral:rRNA from 1 species
GAUGAACGCUGGCGGCGUGCCUAAUACAUGCCAGUCGAGCGAACAGACGAGGAGCUUGCUCCUCUGACGUUAGCGGCGGACGGGUGAGUAACACGUGGAUAACCUACCUAUAAGACUGGGAUAACUUCGGGAAACCGGAGCUAAUACCGGAUAAUAUAUUGAACCGCAUGGUUCAAUAGUGAAAGACGGUUUUGCUGUCACUUAUAGAUGGAUCCGCGCCGCAUUAGCUAGUUGGUAAGGUAACGGCUUACCAAGGCAACGAUGCGUAGCCGACCUGAGAGGGUGAUCGGCCACACUGGAACUGAGACACGGUCCAGACUCCUACGGGAGGCAGCAGUAGGGCAUCUUCCGCAAUGGGCGAAAGCUUGACGGAGCAACGCCGCGUGAGUGAUGAAGGUCUUCGGAUCGUAAAACUCUGUUAUUAGGGAAGAACAAAUGUGUAAGUAACUAUGCACGUCUUGACGGUACCUAAUCAGAAAGCCACGGCUAACUACGUG